GCUCUGAUCCUGGUCAGACGAACGCUGAAGUGGAUGCUGUACAUGCAAGUCGAAAUGCAGCAGCAAUGACCGGUCUGGUGGCGAGUGCGUAAGAACGGUGGAGUAAUGGCAUCGGAACGCCUAGUAGCGGGGGAGAACUACGCUGAAAGGUAGCUAAUACCGCAUACGCCCUUCGGGAAAGCGGGGACCUCGGGCCUCGCACUAUUAGAGCGGCCGAUAUCGGAUUAGCUGGUUGGUGGGGUAACGGCUCACCAAGGCGACGAUCCGUGGCAGCUGGUCGGAGAGGACGACCAGCCAUCGGGACCGGAGACACGGCCCAGACUCCCAUGGGAGGCAGCAGUGGGGAAUUUUGGAGGCCGGGGAAACUCUGAUCCGCCAUCCCGCGUGUGCGAUGAAGGCCCUCUUGCCAAAGCACUUCGGCAGGAAGAAAUCGGCACGGGAUAAUACCCCGUGUAACCACGGUAUUUAAUGGGCACUGGCUAACUACGCCAGCAGCCGCGGUAAUACGGGUAAGCAGCACCGGAAUUACUGGGCGUAAAGCGUGCGUAUGGUUCAAAUAUGAUGUGAAAUCCCAGAGCUUAACUUUGGAACUGCAUUUUUAACUACCGAGCUAUGAGUGUGUCAGAGGGAGGUGGAAUUCCGCGUGUAGCAGUGGAAUGCGUAGAUAUGCGGAGGAACACCGAUGGCGAAGGCAGCCUCCCGUGGGGAUAGUGACUGACGCUCAUGCACGAAAGCGGGGAACGUAAAACAGGAUUAGAUACCCUGGUAGUCCACGCCCUAAACGAUGUCAACUAGUUGUUGGGCCUGGCCUGGUAUGCAGCGACGCAGUGAAGUUGACCGCCUGGGGAGUACGGUCGCAAGAUUAAAAACUCAAAGGAAUUGACGGGGACUGCACAAGCGCGGUGGAUGAUGUGGUGAUUAAUUCGAUAAACGCGAAAAACCUUACCUACCCUUGACAUGUCUGGAAUCCCGAAGAGAUUUGGGAGUGCUCAAAGAGAACCGGAACACAGGUGCUGCAUGGCUGUCGUCAGCUCGUGUCGAGAUGCCGGGUUAAACCAACGAGCGCAACCUGUCAUUAGUUGCCACGAAGGGGUACCAUCGAGACUGCCGGUGACAAACCGGAGGAAGGUGGGGAUGACGUCAAGUCCUCAUGGCCCUUAUGGGUAGGGCCACACGCCACAAUGGUUCGGACAGAGGUCGCCAACCCGCGAGGGGAGCCAAUCCCAGAACCCGAUCGUAGUCCGGAUCGCAGUCUGCAACUCGACUGCGUGAAGUCGGAAUCGCUAGUACCGCGGAUCAGCAUGCCGCGGUGAAUACGUUCCCGGUCUUGUACACACCGCCCGUCACACCAUGGAGUGGGUUUUACCAGAAGUAGUUAGCCCAACCGCAGCGAGCGCGAUUACCAUUCCAUGACUGGGUGAAGUCGUAACAAGGUAA
rnacentral:rRNA from 1 species